AACGUACGCUGGCGGCACGCUUAACACAUGCAAGUCGAACGAAGUAGCAAUACUUAGUGGCAGAACGGGUGAGUAACAUGUGGGUAUCUGCCCUUUGGCCUGGAAUAACACGAGGAAACUUGUGCUAAUACCGGAUAAGUCUUUACGGAGAAAGCUUUAUGCACCAUUGGAUGAGCCUGCACUUGAUUAGUUUGUUGGUGGGGUAAUGGCCUACCAAGACUGUGAUCAAUAGCUGAUUUGAGAGGAUGAUCAGCCACAUUGGGACUGAGACACGGCCCAAACUCCUACGGGAGGCAGCAGUGGGGAAUCUUGCACAAUGGAGGAAACUCUGAUGCAGCGAUGCCGCGUGAGUGAAGAAGGCCCUUGGGUUGUAAAGCUCUUUCGUCGGGGAAGAAAAUGACUGUACCCGAAUAAGAAGGUCCGGCUAACUUCGUGCCAGCAGCCGCGGUAAUACGAAGGGACCUAGCGUAGUUCGGAAUUACUGGGCUUAAAGAGUUCGUAGGUGGUUGAAAUAGUUAGUGGUGAAAUCCCAGAGCUUAACUCUGGAACUGCCAUUAAAACUUUUCAGCUAGAGUUUGAUAGAGGAAAGCAGAAUUUCUAGUGUAGAGGUGAAAUUCGUAGAUAUUAGAAAGAAUACCAAUUGCGAAGGCAGCUUUCUGGAUCAUUACUGACACUGAGGAACGAAAGCAUGGGUAGCGAAGAGGAUUAGAUACCCUCGUAGUCCAUGCCGUAAACGAUGUGUGUUAGACGUUGGAAAUUUAUUUUCAGUGUCGCAGCGAAAGCGAUAAACACACCGCCUGGGGAGUACGACCGCAAGGUUAAAACUCAAAUGAAUUGACGGGGACCCGCACAAGUAGUGGAGCAUGUGGUUUAAUUCGAAGAUACGCGCAGAACCUUACCAACACUUGACAUGUUCGUCGCGACUCUAAGAGAUUAGAGUUUUCGGUUCGGCCGGACGAAACACAGGUGCUGCAUGGCUGUCGUCAGCUCGUGUCGUGAGAUGUUGGGUUAAGUCCCGCAACGAGCGCAACCCUCACUUUUAGUUGCCAUCAUUAAGUUGGGCACUCUGAAAGAACUGCCAGUGAUAAGCUGGAGGAAGGUGGGGAUGACGUCAAGUCCUCAUGGCCCUUACGUGUUGGGCUACACACGUGCUACAAUGGUAUCUACAACAGGAAGCAAGACUGCGAGGUCAAGCAAAUCCUUAAAAGAUACCUCAGUUCGGAUUGCACUCUGCAACUCGAGUGCAUGAAGCUGGAAUUACUAGUAAUCGUGGAUCAGCGUGCCACGGUGAAUGCGUUCCCGGGUCU
rnacentral:rRNA from 1 species